UGAGUAAUGUCUGGGAAACUGCCUGAUGGAGGGGGAUAACUACUGGAAACGGUAGCUAAUACCGCAUAACGUCGCAAAACCAAAGAGGGGGACCUUCGGGCCUCUUGCCAUCAAAUGUGCCCAAUGGGGAUUAGCUAGCAGGGGGGGUAAAGGGCUCCCCUACGCGACAUUCCCUACCUGGUCUAAAAGAUGACCACCCCACUUGAACCUGAACACGGUCCAAACCCCUCCGUAGCCAAUCGUGGGAAAUAUUGCACAUUGGCCGCAAGCCUGAUCAGCCUUGCCUUGUUUUUAAAUUAAGCCCUUCGGGUUUGUAAACCUUUUUUCCCAGGAAGAAAGGAGGUGGAGAACUUAAUCCCUUCAUCAAUUGACGUUACUCCCAAAAAAAACCCCCGGCUAACUCCGUGCCCACCGCCGCGGUUAAUACGGAGGGGUGCAACCGUUAAUCGGAAUUACGGGGCAGUAAAGCGCCCCCCAGGCGGUUUGUUAAUCAAAAGGUGAAAUCCCCGGG
rnacentral:rRNA from 1 species